GAUGAACGCUGGCGGCGUGCCUAAUACAUGCAAGUCGAGCGGCAGCACGGUCUUCGGACUGGUGGCGAGCGGCGGACGGCUGAGUAACGCGUAGGAAUAUACCCCGAAGUGAGGGAUAACUGCCUGAAAGGGUUGCUAAUACCGCAUAUUAUCUUUGGAUCAAAGCUUUUUAAGCGCUUUGGGAAUAGCCUGCGUCUGAUUAGCUAGUUGGUGAGGUAAUGGCUCACCAAGGCGACGAUCGGUAGCUGGUCUGAGAGGAUGAUCAGCCAGACUGGAACUGAGACACGGUCCAGACUCCUACGGGAGGCAGCAGUCGGGAAUUUUCCACAAUGGGCGAAAGCCUGAUGGAGCAACGCCGCGUGCAGGAAGAAGGCCUUCGGGUUGUAAACUGCUUUUAUGUGCGAAGAUUAUGACGGUAACACAUGAAUAAGGGUCGGCUAACUACGUGCCAGCAGCCGCAGUAA
rnacentral:rRNA from 1 species